CAGUCGCCCGGUAAAACGGAGGGGGCUAGCGUUGUUCGGAAUUACUGGGCGUAAAGCGCACGUAGGCGGCUUUGUAAGUUAGAGGUGAAAGCCUGGGGCUCAACUCCAGAAUUGCCUUUAAGACUGCAUCGCUUGAACGUCGGAGAGGUGAGUGGAAUUCCGAGUGUAGAGGUGAAAUUCGUAGAUAUUCAGAAGAACACCAGUGGCGAAGGCGGCUCACUGGACGACUGUUGACGCUGAGGUGCGAGAGCGUGGGGAGCAAACAGGAUUAGAUACCCCCGUAGUCCCUGUCUCUUAUACA
rnacentral:rRNA from 1 species